rnacentral:rRNA from 1 species
UUCCCGUUGAUUGACGUGCUUGCACUGAUUUCAACAUUGAAACGAGUGGCGAACUGGUGAGUAACACGUGGAAAACCUGCCCAGAAGCAGGGGAUAACACUUGGAAACAGGUGCUAAUACCGUAUAACAACAAAAACCGCAUGGUUUUUGUUUGGAAGGUGGCUUCGGCUAUCACUUCUGGAUGGUUCCGCGGCGCAUUAGCUUGUUGGUGGGGUAACGGCUCACCAAGGCGAUGAUGCGUAGCCGACCUGAGAGGGUAAUCGGCCACAUUGGGACUGAGACACGGCCCAGACUCCUACGGGAGGCAGCAGUAGGGAAUCUUCCACAAUGGACGCAAGUCUGAUGGAGCAAUGCCGCGUGAGUGAAGAAGGGUUUCGGCUCGUAAAACUCUGUUGUUGAAGAAGAACGGGUGUCAGAAUAACUGUUGACAUCGUGACGGUAUUCAACCAAAAAGCCACGGCUAACUACGUGCCAUCAGCCGCGGUAAUACGUAUGUGGCAAGCGUUGUCCGGAUUUAUUGGGCGUAAAGCGAGCGCAGGCGGUUUCUUAAGUCUGAUGUGAAAGCCUUCGGCUUAACCGACGAAGUGCAUCGGAGACUGGGGAACUUGAGUGCAGAAGAUGACAGUGGAACUCCAUGUGUAGCGGUGGAAUGCGUAGAUA